rnacentral:rRNA from 1 species
AACUGAGACACGGUCCAAACUCCUACGGGAGGCAGCAGUGAGGAAUAUUGGUCAAUGGGCGGGAGCCUGAACCAGCCAAGUAGCGUGAAGGACGACGGCCCUACGGGUUGUAAACUUCUUUUAUAAGGGAAUAAAGUUCGCCACGUGUGGUGUUUUGUAUGUACCUUAUGAAUAAGCAUCGGCUAAUUCCGUGCCAGCAGCCGCGGUAAUACGGAAGAUGCGAGCGUUAUCCGGAUUUAUUGGGUUUAAAGGGAGCGUAGGCGGGCUUUUAAGUCAGCGGUCAAAUGUCGUGGCUCAACCAUGUCAAGCCGUUGAAACUGUAAGCCUUGAGUCUGCACAGGGCACAUGGAAUUCGUGGUGUAGCGGUGAAAUGCUUAGAUAUCACGAAGAACUCCGAUCGCGAAGGCAUUGUGCCGGGGCAUAACUGACGCUGAGGCUCGAAAGUGCGGGUAUCAAACAGGAUUAGAUACCCUGGUAGUCCGCACGGUAAACGAUGAAUGCUCGCUAUGGGCGAUAUAUUGUCCGUGGCCAAGCGAGAGCGUUAAGCAUUCCACCUGGGGAGUACGCCGGCAACGGUGAAACUCAAAGGAAUUGACGGGGG